rnacentral:rRNA from 1 species
CAGCAGCCGCGGGAAUACGGAGGGGGCUAGCGUUGUUCGGAAUUACUGGGCGUAAAGCGCACGUAGGCGGCUUGGUAAGUUAGAGGUGAAAGCCCGGAGCUCAACUCCGGAAUUGCCUUUAAGACUGCCGAGCUAGCAGGUGAGAGAGGUAAGUGGAAUUCCGAGUGUAGAGGUGAAAUUCGUAGAUAUUCGGAAGAACACCAGUGGCGAAGGCGGCUUACUGGCUCAUACUGUACGCUGAGGUGCGAAAGCGUGGGGAGCAAACAGGAUUAGAUACCCCUGUAGUCCCUGUCUCUUAUAC